AGAACGAACGCUGGCGGCAUGCCUAAUACAUGCAAGUCGAACGAACUCUUCGGAGUUAGUGGCGCACGGGUGCGUAACGCGUGGGAAUCUGCCCCUUGGUUCGGAAUAACAGUUGGAAACGACUGCUAAUACCGGAGUGAUGACGAAAGUCCAAAGAUUUAUCGCCAAGGGAUGAGCCCGCGUAGGAUUAGCUAGUUGGUGAGGUAAAGGCUCACCAAGGCAACGAUCCUUAGCUGGUCUGAGAGGAUGAUCAGCCACACUGGGACUGAGACACGGCCCAGACUCCUACGGGAGGCAGCAGUAGGGAAUAUGGACAAGUGGGACGAAAGCCUGAUCCGAGCAAUGACCGCGUGAGUCGAGUGAAGGUCCUUAGG
rnacentral:rRNA from 1 species